rnacentral:sRNA from 1 species
AUGUGCCUGAAGGAAGUGUGUCAACUUUCCACUAAUCACAUAUUCAGUUCCUUUGAAAUUAAAACAAGUUUCACUUAGUGCCUCAGAGAUGACUUUAGAGUUGGUGUCGGGUUACAUAAUGAAACAAUAUUUUUUCUUACUUGUCAGGAAAUAACCUCUUACAGGGGUUAUUUCUGUAAACCCCACUUUCUGGAAAACAAGACACACUGUAUCCUGUCCUUAUUGGGUUUUUGCUCUGUAUUUUGAACCAGGAGGACGUGGGCUGCGAGGAGAAGCUGUACUUUGGCUUGAAUGAGUACAGCAAGUCUCUGCAGUGGGGGAUCACGAGCCCACUUCUGAGAUGUGACGAGACUUUUGAAAAAAUGGUGAACACACUCUUGGAGAGGUACCCCAGGCUGCACAGCAUGGUCGUCCGCUGCUAUCUUCUCAUCCAGCAGUACUCUGAGGCCCUGAUGGCUCUCACCACCAUGGCGUCACUCCGAGACCACAGCACACCAGAAACACUCAGCAUUAUGGAUGACCUCAUCAGCUCCCCAGGCAAAAACAAAAGUGGGAGGGGACACAUGCUCAUUAUCAGGGUGCCCUCGGUGCAGCUGGCGAUGCUA